rnacentral:rRNA from 1 species
UAAUACGUAGGGCGCAAGCGUUGUCCGGAAUUAUUGGGCGUAAAGAGCUCGUAGGCGGCUUGUCACGUCGGGUGUGAAAGCCCGGGGCUUAACCCCGGGUCUGCAUUCGAUACGGGCUAGCUAGAGUGUGGUAGGGGAGAUCGGAAUUCCUGGUGUAGCGGUGAAAUGCGCAGAUAUCAGGAGGAACACCGGUGGCGAAGGCGGAUCUCUGGGCCAUUACUGACGCUGAGGAGCGAAAGCGUGGGGAGCGAACAGGAUUAGAUACCCUGGUAGUCCACGCCGUAAACGGUGGGAACUAGGUGUUGGCGACAUUCCACGUCGUCGGUGCCGCAGCUAACGCAUUAAGUUCCCCGCCUGGGGAGUACGGCCGCAAGG